rnacentral:rRNA from 1 species
UUAUACAGCGAAACUGCGAAUGGCUCAUUAUAUAAGUUAUCUUUUAUUUGAUAGUGCCUUACUACUUGGAUAACCGUGGUAAUUCUAGAGCUAAUACAUGCUAAAACCCCGACUUCGGAAGGGGUGUAUUUAUUAGAUACAAAACCAAUGCCCUUCGGGGCUCUUUGGUGAUUCAUGAUAACUAUACGAAUCGCACGGCCUUGCGCCGGCGAUGGUUCAUUCAAAUUUCUUCCCUAUCAACUUUCGAUGUUUGGGUAUUGGCCAAACAUGGUUGCAACGGGUAACGGAGGGUUAGGGCUCGACCCCGGAGAAGGAGCCUGAGAAACGGCUACUACAUCCAAGGAAGGCAGCAGGCGCGCAAAUUACCCAAUCCCGACUCGGGGAGGUAGUGACAAUAAAUACUGAUACAGGGCCCUUUCGGGCCUUGUAAUUGGAAUGAGUACAAUUUAAAUCCGUUAACGAGGAACAAUUGGAGGGCAAGUCUAGUGCCAGCAGCCGCGCUAAUUCCAGCCCCAAUAGCCUAUAU